GAUGAACGCUGGCGGCGUGCCUAAUACAUGCAAGUCGAGCGAACAGACGAGGAGCUUACUCCUCUGACGUUAGCGGCGGACGGGUGAGUAACACGUGGAUAACCUACCUAUAAGACUGGGAUAACUUCGGGAAACCGGAGCUAAUACCGGAUAACAUGUUGAACCGCAUGGUUCAACAGUGAAAGACGGUCUUGCUGUCACUGAUAGAUGGAUCCGCGUCGCAUUAGCUAGUUGGUAAGGUAACGGCUUACCAAGGCAACGAUGCGUAGCCGACCUGAGAGGGUGAUCGGCCACACUGGAACUGAGACACGGUCCAGACUCCUACGGGAGGCAGCAGUAGGGAAUCUUACGCAAUGGGCGAAAGCCUGACGGAGCAACGCCGCGUGAGUGAAGAAGGUCUUCGGAUCGUAAAACUCUGUUAUUAGGGAAGAACAAAUGUGUAAGUAACUAUGCACGUCUUGACGGUACCUAAUCAGAAAGCCACGGCUAACUACGUG
rnacentral:rRNA from 1 species